rnacentral:rRNA from 1 species
UACGAAGGGGAGGCUAGCGUUGUUCGGAAUUACUGGGCGUAAAGCGCGCGCAGGCGGCCUGUUAAGUCGGGUGUGAAAGCCCUGGGCUCAACCCAGGAAGUGCACUCGAAACUGGCGGGCCUGAAUAUGGAAGAGGGUCGCGGAAUUCCCGGUGUAGAGGUGAAAUUCGUAGAUAUCGGGAGGAACACCAGUGGCGAAGGCGGCGCCUGGGCCAAUAUUGACGCAUGAG